rnacentral:rRNA from 1 species
UACGGAAGGCAGCAGUGGGGAAUAUUGCACAAUGGGCGCAAGCCUGAUGCAGCCAUGCCGCGUGUAUGAAGAAGGCCUUCGGGUUGUAAAGUACUUUCAGUCGUGAGGAAGGUGUUAAGGUUAAUAACCUUAGCAAUUGACGUUAGCGACAGAAGAAGCACCGGCUAACUCCGUGCCAGCAGCCGCGGUAAUACGGAGGGUGCGAGCGUUAAUCGGAAUUACUGGGCGUAAAGGGCACGCAGGCGGUUAAUUAAGUUGGAUGUGAAAUCCCCGGGCUUAACCUGGGAAUGGCAUUCAAGACUGGUUAGCUAGAGUCCUGUAGAGGGGGUAGAAUUCCGAUGUGUAGCGGUGAAAUGCGUAGAGAUGUGGAGGAAUACCGGUGGCGAAGGCGGCCCCUGGACAAAGACUGACGCUCAUGUGCGAAAGCGUGGGGAGCAAACAGGGAUUAGAUACC